rnacentral:sRNA from 1 species
ACGUCCUCUUCUCCUUCAACAAAUCUCUUACCAUCCAU